GCGGGUGGGUGCGCCUCGGGCCGCUGGGCUUGUCGCCGCCGCCGCCGCCUCUGCGGCCGCGUCAGAACUGGAGGGAGGAAGGGGAGGAGCCGAGUGGAGCCCGAGCGGCCGCCCGAUCUCACCCCGACCCGAGGGCGGCGGAGAGGGCUGGCUCUCUAGUGGUUUCCUACGGGGCAGGUGGUGACUGCUCCUUGGGGAGCCCGGAGGAGGGAGGCCCGCUGAAGGUGAGGCCUCGGGCCCCAAACAGGCCUUGGAGGAGCUGUCCCACUGCCCGAUCCGCGCGCUGCACCUGUUCCAGGGAGCGAGCGCCCCACCCUUUCCGCGGUGUGGGGCGCGCCCCAGCGCCGGAGAACGCGGAGUCGGCCCGAGUAGAUGUGUAGUGAGUGAAUGAAUGAAUGAACGAAUGAACGAACGAACGAACGAAGGCGAGAACACUCGCGGAGCUCAGGGGAGUGGACGGAGUGUUGGCGCUUUGCUAACUACACAGCAUUGUAACGAUGGCAGACUCACAGAGAAUCAGACCAUCAAAACACAUGACUACAACACAAAUCUUUUAUGGUUUUCCCUGUCUUCCUGAUUUCCUGAUGGAAAUUGAAGGAAUAAGAUGCACAGAUUUAGGGGAUUUUGUGAGGCUGGGCACCUCAGAUUUUAGUUCUGAGAGGUUUUUAUAAUAUUUUUCUCCCAUUGGUUUUAGAGAGAAGAGAGAGCGAGUGCGAGAGCGAGAGCGAGAGAGAGAGAGAGAGAGAGAGAGAGAAGCAUCGAUCGAUUGCCUCCCAUACACGCCCUAAGCCUGACCCUGGAUCCAACACCAUCUAGGUAAGUGCCCUGACCAGAAUUGAACCUGCCACCUUCCGGUGUACUGGACAAUGCUCCAACCAACUGAUCCACACCGGCCAGGGCAGUUCUGUGGGUUUUGAAUAAAAAGGGUGCAACCUAGUCAAGUACACCUCAAGGAAAGUGUGUACCAGGUGGACUUUUUCAGCAGCCUGAUCUUAGAACCGUAGUGCUGAAGACAGAAUGGCACCCUGGAGAGCCCUCCGCCACCCACCACCUACAACCUACAUCAAAAGAACCAGCUGCACUAGACUUACUGGAAAAGAUCCACCCACCUCACCACCCAGCAUGAUAACCAGAGGAAACAGCUGGAACUGGCGACUGGAAAAGAGGAAGUUCAUACAUAUCCAACUUGGUCUGCAACUUUUUAGUUCUUUUAUUUUUUUUUCUUUAUUGAUUAAUCCAGAGGAGGAAAUAGCUAGUUUUCAAAAUUCAAAAAACUUUGGAGUUUUAGGUAACAGUUGUUUUCUGGUCCAUCAAUUUGUUUCUGAUAGAGAUCUGCUUUCUAUGUUAAAAUAUGACAACGGGGUAUUUUUCUCCUAUACUUGAAAGUGAGCUCUUAUGGGGAAUUAAUCAGUGUUUUAUUAGCCCACAUCAGUGGUUUUACUAUUAAAGAUUUCUUAAGUAAAUUAUCUGGCAAAAUUUCUUUCUACAAAUACCAUUUACAGUAUUUGGUUUCUUUUAGAUUUUUUAUUGUGAAAUAUACAUUACAAUGCAUAAAGCAGUUACUCCGUAUAAUGAGUAAUUAUAAAGUAAACCUUCAUGUGACCAACCAGAUCAAGAACUGGAACAUUGCCAGCACCCCAAAAUCCCCCUGUUGACCUUCCUGAACACAACUCAUCCCCUCUUUUUCAGAGGUAACCCUUAUUCUAUCUUCUGUGAUAAGUAUUUCCUUGCUUUUUUCUCUAUUGUUUUAUCACAAACAUGCAUCCCUAAACAAUAUAUCGUUUGGUUUUGUCCUUCCUUUUGAACUUUAUGAAAUGGAAAACCCUAAUAUGUAAUCUAUUAUUCUGGUACUUACCGCUUUAGCUCAACAUUGUUUUUAAUCCAUAUGUUGUUUAGGUUGUUCAUAUAGCUUUAAUUUGUUCAUUUUAAUUGCUGAAUAUUACAGUGUUCCAUUGUAGUAUAUGCCAUGAUUUACUUAACCAUUCUAUUGUUGAUAGAUAUCUGGAUUGUUUCUAGUUUGGAAGGAACUGCUAUACCUGCUGCUGUGAACAUUCUUCCGAUGUAUUCUAUCAUGCCUAUAUCAGUUUCUGUAUAGUAUAUACCUGGAAGUGGAUGUGCAUAUCAUAAACUUGAAUAAAUAAUGCCAAGCUCUUUCUAAUGUGUUAUAAUCACA